GAUGAACGCUGGCGGCGUGCCUAAUACAUGCAAGUCGAGCGAACAGACGAGGAGCUUGCUCCUCUGACGUUAGCGGCGGACGGGUGAGUAACACGUGGAUAACCUACCUAUAAGACUGGGAUAACUUCGGGAAACCGGAGCUAAUACCGGAUAAUAUAUUGAACCGCAUGGUUCAAUAGUGAAAGACGGUUUUGCUGUCACUUAUAGAUGGAUCCGCGCCGCAUUAGCUAGUUGGUAAGGUAACGGGUUACCAAGGCAACGAUGCGUAGCCGACCUGGGAGAGUGAUCGGCCACACGGGAACUGAGACACGGUCCAGAGUACUACGGGAGGCAGCAGUAGGGAAUCGUCGGCAGUGGGCGAAAGCCUGACGGAGCAACGCCGCGUGAGUGAUGAAGGUCUUCGGAUCGUAAAACUCUGUUAUUAGGGAAGAACAAAUGUGUAAGUAACUAUGCACGUCUUGACGGUACCUAAUCAGAAAGCCACGGCUAACUACGUG
rnacentral:rRNA from 1 species